UAAGAUGUACAUUGGAUUCGGGAGGAUCUAAGAUGGCCUAAUAGGAAAAGCUCUGGAGUACAGUUCCCAAGAGAACAAUGCAGAGGAUGAGUGCCCACCGCAUUUCCAAAUAAGUUUUCACUGCCCACAGACCCAAAGAUUCCAGGGCUGAAAAGUGCUGUGGGAUUUCAGUGCGGUGGUUUCAGCCAGUGCUGGGUUGGCACACAGAAACUCACACAAGUCUGGGUGGCUGUUUCGACUGGCACCUGGAGCACCUGGGAGACAGAGCCGCCCAUUCAACUGAAAGGGAGGGGGUCUAAGACAGGGAGCC